rnacentral:rRNA from 1 species
AAUGAACGCUAGCGGUAGGCUUAACACAUGCAAGUCGGACGGGCUUUGCUCAUCCUUUUCGGAGGAAGGGUAAGGCUAGUGGCAGACGGGUGCGUAAUAUUUGGGGAUCUACCUAGGAGUUCGGGAUAACUGUUAGAAAUAGCAGCUAAUACCGAAUAAUACCCUGGAGGGGGAAAGGUUUCUUUGUGAUUUUGAUCGCAGAUCUCAUUUGAGAUUUUCGGUCAGUAUCACAAAUUCAGCUCUUAGAUGAGCCCAAACUAGAUUAGCUUGUUGGUGGGGUAAGUGCCUACCAAGGCUAUGAUCUAUAGCUGACCUGAGAGGGUGGUCAGCCACACUGGAACUGAGAUACGGUCCAG